rnacentral:tRNA from 1 species
GAGGUCGUUGGGCAGGAAGUGGCCGCGGCCGUCGACGGUGGCCAUGGUGGCGCCGCUGGACAUUCUGCCCCCCGGUUCAAUCCCGACGGUUCCG